rnacentral:rRNA from 1 species
GUCUUUUUGAAACUUUAUUUAAAGUCUAACCUGCCCACUGAAUGAAUAAUUUAAAUGGCCGCAGUAUUUUAACUGUGCAAAGGUAGCAUAAUCAUUAGUCUUUUAAUUGAAGGCUGGAAUGAAUGGUUGGACGAAGUAUAUACUGUUUCAUAUAAAUUUGAGAUAGAAUUUUAUUUUUUAGUUAAAAAGCUAAAAUUUUAUUAAAAGACGAGAAGACCCUAUAAAUCUUUAUAUUUUUUAUUAUUUAAAUUUUUUAGAUUUAUUUUAUUUUUAUAAUAGAAAAUAUUUUGUUGGGGUGAUAUUAAAAUUUAAUAAACUUUUAAUUUAUUUUAAUCAUUAAUUUAUGAAUUAUUGAUCCAUUUUUAGUGAUUAUAAGAUUAAGUUACUUUAGGGAUAACAGCGUAAUUUUUUUUGAGAGUUCAUAUCGAUAAAAAAGUUUGCGACCUCGAUGUUGGAUUAAGAGAUAUUUUUAGGUGCAGUAGCUUAAAUGUUAAGUCUGUUCGACUUUUAAAAUCUUACAU